ensembl:lncRNA
UAUAGAGUAUCCAUAUGUUUAGCAAUAGAUUGAGAACAAAAGAAAUGAAGCUAAACAAGUAAACAAAUCUUCAUAUAUUUUUAUUUAAAAUCUGAGAGAGCUCAUUUUUCUCGUUCUCUCAUGUUCUGUCCACCUACGGUGUCAGAUUUAACACGACUGGUUGAGCUGAGGUUAGUAUUUAUUUUUAUAAUUUAAAAAUGGACUUGCAUAUGUAAUACAUAAAUAUAUUCCUGUGGUUAAAAAUUCAUACAAUACAUAUGAAUCUAAAUCUGCGUUGACCCCAGUCAAUCUCAUUCCUCUUUUCAGAGGUAUCCAGGUGUGUUAGUUUGCCAUGUGUAACAAAUUUCCACAAAUUUAGCAGCUUAAAACAGGAGCCAUUCGUUGUCUCAGUUCUGAAGGUCAGAAGUCCCGGGGGCCCAGCUGGUUCUCCUGCCCAGGGCUUCACACGGCUGCGUCAAAGUAUCCACCAGAGUCAAGCUUCUCACCUGAGGGGCCGGGGCCCUCUUCCAACCUGGGUGGCUCUCGGCAGAAUUAAUUUCCUUCUCAUGCCCUCUGUGUGGUUUCCUCCAUCUUCAAGCCAGCAAGUCCCCUGUCUUUCUCCUGCUUUGAAUUUUCUCGCACUGCCACCUCUCUCGACUUCCUCUUCCUCAGCAGGACAAACUCUGCUUUUGAAGGGCUCGUGUGAUUCCAUUGGGCCCACGUGGAUGAUUCAAGAAUAACAGAAGCAUUGUCAAAAGAACCAUCCAUCAGAGAAGCUUUGAUGAGUUAGCUCAACCUGUGUGCAAAAACAAAAAUGAAAGUGUAAGAAGCCUCUUCAGGAGCAUGCCGCCAUGACUGCAUAAUGAAAAUUGCUUCCUCUCAGGCCAUGAUUUCUUCUUGGCUAUGUCAUUAAGUCUUAUGAAAACCUUAGUAUUGAGAGCUAAAUGAAAGCUUGUGAGUUUUGGUCUCCCAUUGUGAAUCUAGCUUAUGUUGGAGAAUUAUUUCCUCAGUUAGCCUUCUGAGUGUUAAUAUAUUGCAGAGUUUAAACACAACUGCAUUGGGCAUUUCCAUUUAAAACAGAGCUUUUACAUGAUUCAUGAUGGGUAUUUCACAUUUCCCUCUUUCUAAAGAUCUAGGAAAUUAUUGUACAAGUUGUAAGUAAUGUGUCUGUAAGAACAAAGCAAUAUGUUUUAAACAGCUCAAGAUCAUUCUAUGGAAAGCUCCAUUCUAUCUAAUGCAUAUACACCUUAGCAGCAUUUCUCCUGGGAAAAUGUGAAAUAUGAUGCCCUAUGGAAUUGUAGAUUGGUAAGCCUAAUAUUUGUUGUUCUGAAAAUCCUUUUGUAAGAAGUUAGAAGAAAGUGUAUCCAUCUAAGUGUUAGAAGGGCAGAAUUCUGGGUUCAAUUCCUCUCCUUUUAGCUGUGUGACCUGAGACAAGCCAUGCAACUUCUCUGAGUCCAAAUUUCCUCUUCUUUGAAAUGGGCAAACUAGCUUUUACUCAACAUUCUCCUGAGUUGUAAAAAUCAAAGAAGAUAUUAGAUGAGACCGUGUUUGAAAGCAGCUGUAUACAAAACAAAUGAAAAGUUGAGACAAUCUAGAAAAUAGUGUGAAUUGUUCUAUUUAAUAAACUGAAUAUGUUGUCUUAAUUGCUCAUAGUGGACUCCCACCCUCAUCCCCAGGCUGAGGCCUGCAGUUUGCGUGUUUCAGCCUGUUAUCCCAUCUCCUCCCUUUCAGAGGUUGAUGGUCUGGGGUUAUCAGGAGUUAGGUCGUAGUUCACAAGAGGCGUCAGAUGGAGCCUCGUCAUCAAAAUAACCCAGGAGAUUAUCGGUAGCUACUAACAAUUGGAAGUCCGUGGUUUUCACAGUUGUACCACUUCCUUCUUGUAGUGAAUGUUUUGCUAUAUCCAAGGUCUAAUGGGUUUUGAAGGUGGGACUGAUGAAUUCGUAGGUCUCU